rnacentral:rRNA from 1 species
CGAUUACGGCUCAGUAACACGUAGCUAACCUACCCUUAGGACGUGGAUACCCCCGAGAAAUUGGGGUUAAUCCGCGAUAGAUGUAAUGUCCUGGAAUGGUAUUACGUCUAAAGGUAUUUCAUACAUGUUUGAAAUAUGCCUAAGGACGGGGCUGCGGCCGAUCAGGCUGUUGGUGAGGUAAUGGCUCACCAAACCUUUGACCGGUACGGGCCAUGAGAGUGGUAGCCCGGAGAUGGACACUGAGACAAGGGUCCAGGCCCUAAGGGGCGCAGCAACCGCGAAACCUCCACAAUGCACUCACGUGCGAUGGGGCUAUCUCGAGUGCCACCUGAUGAAGGUGGCUUUUCCUAGGUCUUCAAAGCCUUGGGAAUAAGAGGGGGGCAAGACUGGUGUCAGCCGCCGCGGUAACACCAGACCCUCGAGUGGUGGGGAUGAUUAUUUGGCCUAAAGCGUCCGUAGCC